CCUACGGGAGGCAGCAGUGGGGAAUAUUGGACAAUGGGGGCAACCCUGAUCCAGCCAUGCCGCGUGUGUGAAGAAGGCCUUCGGGUUGUAGAGCACUUUCAGAUGUGAGGAAAGGUGUGUACUUAAUACGUACAGACUGUGACGUUAGCAUCAGAAGAAGGACCGGCUAACUCCGUGCCAGCAGCCGCGGUAAUACGGAGGGUCCGAGCGUUAAUCGGAAUUACUGGGCGUAAAGCGCGCGUAGGUGGCUAAGUCAGUCAGAUGUGAAAGCCCCGGGCUCAACCUGGGAACUGCACCUGAUACUGCUUGGCUAGAGUACAAUAGAGGGGAGUGGAAUUUCCGGUGUAGCGGUGAAAUGCGUAGAGAUCGGAAGGAACACCAGUGGCGAAGGCGACUCCCUGGAUUGAUACUGACACUGAGGUGCGAAAGCGGGGGGAGCAAACAGGAUUAGAUACCCUGGUAGUCCACGCCGUAAACGAUGUCAACUAGCCGUUGGGACACUUGAUGUCUUAGUGGCGCAGCUAACGCGAUAAGUUGACCGCCUGGGGAGUACGGUCGCAAGAUUAAAACUCAAAGGAAUUGACGGA
rnacentral:rRNA from 1 species